rnacentral:rRNA from 1 species
GUACACGAGCGGCGAACGGGUGAGUAACACGUGGGUAACCUGCCCUGCACUUUGGGAUAACCUCGGGAAACCGGGGCUAAUACCGGAUAGGACAUGCCAUCGCAUGGUGGUGUGUGGAAAGUUCCGGCGGUGUGGGAUGGGCCCGCGGCCUAUCAGCUUGUUGGUGGGGUGAUGGCCUACCAAGGCGACGACGGGUAGCCGGCCUGAGAGGGCGACCGGCCACACUGGGACUGAGACACGGCCCAGACUCCUACGGGAGGCAGCAGUGGGGAAUAUUGCGCAAUGGGCGAAAGCCUGACGCAGCGACGCCGCGUGAGGGAUGACGGCCUUCGGGUUGUAAACCUCUUUCAGCGCCGAAGAAGCGAAAGUGACGGUAGGCGCAGAAGAAGCACCGGCUAACUACGUGCCAGCAGCCGCGGUAAUACGUAGGGUGCGAGCGUUGUCCGGAAUUAUUGGGCGUAAAGAGCUCGUAGGCGGUUUGUCGCGUCGGCUGUGAAAACCUGGGGCUUAACCCUGGGCGUGCAGUCGAUACGGGCAGACUUGAGUUCGGCAGGGGAGACUGGAAUUCCUGGUGUAGCGGUG